UGAUGGUGAUGAGGACAAAUUCUGAGUAUACCCUUAAAUCUCUCCCAAGCUUGGUAGAGAUUUUCUCCAUCUUUCUAUCUGAAACUCAAUUUGUCACUCCUUAAUCG
rnacentral:snoRNA from 1 species